AAGUCGUAACAAGGUUUCCGUAGGUGAACCUGCGGAAGGAUCAUUAACAAUUCCAUUCUAAAUCAACCUUUGUGAACCGACCUCUAGCUGGGUUGAGGCUCUGGCCUCUUAAAAGUCCUGCCGAGGAAAAGUGUCAGCAGUCAGUUCUUGUAGCCGGCUGUUGGCACUAUAUAGACUAUUUUGUAUGACUAAAAAGUGUUAUUUUAAACAAAUACAACUUUUAACAGUGGAUCUCUUGGCUCCU
rnacentral:misc_RNA from 1 species